CUGCUUUGCACCUAUGCGUGCCAUCCUGUGCUGGGCAAUGGAAAUGUGGCCUCUGCCACCAAGGGAGGAAAGUCAGCUCACUAGCCAGCCGGAGUUCCCAGGGCAACAAAACUCAAAACAAGAAACUGCGAGGUCUGUAGAAAUCAGGUCAGGCUGCCGUACCUACCUCCCUGCAGGCAUCCCAGGGAAGGAGACACCUAGGCUGAGUCCCAAAUGUAACACAGUUAUUUCCUCCAGUGCUCAUCUGGUGCACUGAGAAUGGACUAAUGCAGGGACCACAGCAGCACCAGCACCAGGUUAUGCUCAGCAGCAGCACAAGAACCAAGCCCAGAAGCCACAAACCCCUUCUGCUCUGCAUCAGGUGAGAACCCAUGCGGAUUCUCUGAAUGCUUUCUCCAGGACUCUUUUUCAGAGUGGUCUUUCCUCUUACCUCUGUAAAUCCUACCUUCCCCUCGGUUGACCCCUGAAUCAUCUGUUCCUCAGACUUGUGCUCACUGCUUUUCUCCAGCCCCAUCCCUACAGCCAGCUAUGUGACUGCCUGCCUGGGUGCAGAGUCUGUGGCCACAUCCCUACCGGGUGCCUCUGAGGAACUCCCAGGCCAACGGCCAUGCAGGCAGCCUCCUGGGAAGACUUGGAUUUCGGAGAGUGCAGAAGGAGAGGGCAGAUGGAAACAGAAAGUUAGAGGAGAUAAAAGGUAAAAGUGAUGAUGUUUGGGCAAGUCCUGGGCUGCUGAACAGUAGCAGUGCCAGGUCAUCUGGUACAGAGCAGAGCUGACCCAGAAACACCACUCAUCACACAAUCACAGGAAUAAGUUUCCGUGUUCUUCUGUGAGCGGUUCAUCAGGGAGGCUGGUCCUUCGUUCAUUCAGUAAGGACUUUAGUAAGGGGCUGUUGCUGUAUGUUUUAUAGUCUGUCCUGUCCCCGGGGUUUAUGUUUCCUGAAUAUUCCAGGUGUGCUGCUGCAUCUGGUAUUUGUUUUUUUGUUUUGUUUGUUUUUGCUUCUCCUCUUCCUGGAGUUAUAUCCCUGCAGAUGUCCACUCCUCUCCAUUC
rnacentral:lncRNA from 1 species